UACGGGGGGGGCAAGCGUUGUUCGGAAUUACUGGGCGUAAAGGGCGCGUAGGCGGUCUGAUAAGUUAGGUGUGAAAUUCCCGGGCUUAACCUGGGCGCUGCACUUAAUACUGUUGGGCUUGAAUUCGGGAGAGGAUAGUGGAAUUCCCAGUGUAGAGGUGAAAUUCGUAGAUAUUGGGAAGAACACCAGUGGCGAAGGCGACUAUCUGGACCGACAUUGACGCUGAGGCGCGAAAGCGUGGGGAGCAAACGGG
rnacentral:rRNA from 1 species